rnacentral:rRNA from 1 species
AUUGAACGCUGGCGGCAGGCCUAACACAUGCAAGUCGAACGGUAACAGGAAGCAGCUUGCUGCUUUGCUGACGAGUGGCGGGCGGGUGAGUAAUGUCUGGGAAACUGCCUGAUGGAGGGGGGUAACUACUGGAAACGGUAGCUAAUACCGCAUAACGUCGCAAGACCAAAGAGGGGGACCUUCGGGCCUCUUGCCAUCGGAUGUGCCCAGAUGGGAUUAGCUAGUAGGUGGGGUAACGGCUCACCUAGGCGACGAUCCCUAGCUGGUCUGAGAGGAUGACCAGCCACACUGAAACUGAGACACGGGCCAGACUCCUACGGGAGGCAGCAGUGGGGAAUAUGCACAAUGGGCGCAAGCCUGAUGCAGCCAUGCCGCGUGUAUGAAGAAGGCCUUCGGGUUGUAAAGUACUUUCAGCGGGGAGGAAGGGAGUAAAGUUAAUACCUUUGCUCAUUGACGUUACCCGCAGAAGAAGCACCGGCUAACUCCGUG